rnacentral:rRNA from 1 species
AUUGAACGCUGGCGGCAGGCUUAACACAUGCAAGUCGAACGGCAGCGCGGGCUUCGGCCUGGCGGCGAGUGGCGAACGGGUGAGUAAUACAUCGGAACAUGCCCAGUCGUGGGGGAUAACACUUCGAAAGAAGUGCUAAUACCGCAUACGUCCUGAGGGAGAAAGCGGGGGAUCGCAAGACCUCGCGCGAUUGGGGUGGCCGAUGUCAGAUUAGCUAGUUGGUGGGGUAAAGGCCUACCAAGGCAACGAUCUGUAGCUGGUCUGAGAGGAUGAUCAGCCACACUGGGACUGAGACACGGCCCAGACUCCUACGGGAGGCAGCAGUGGGGAAUUUUGGACAAUGGGGGCAACCCUGAUCCAGCCAUUCCGCGUGAGUGAAGAAGGCCUUCGGGUUGUAAAGCUCUUUCGGCAGGAACGAAACGGUGAGCUCUAACAUAGCUUGCUAAUGACGGUACCUGAAGAAGAAGCACCGGCUAACUACGUGCCAGCCGCCGCAGUAACAC